UUUCCGUAGGUGAACCUGCGGAAGGAUCAUUGUCGAAGCCUGCCCAGCAGAACGACCCGCGAACUUGUAUAAACAACCGGGGUCAGGGGCGAUCUCGCCCCGUGCCCUCGAACGGCAGGGAGACACUCGUGCCUUCUUGUCGAACAACCAACCCCGGCGCGGUCUGCGCCAAGGAACUUCAAUUAAAGAGUGCCUCCGGUCGCCUCGGAAACGAUGCGCGUGUCGGAGGCGAAUCUUGUACAAAACCAUAACGACUCUCGGCAACGGAUAUCUCGGCUCUC
rnacentral:misc_RNA from 1 species